UACGGAGGGUGCAAGCGUUAAUCGGAAUUACUGGGCGUAAAGCGCACGCAGGCGGUUAAUUAAGUUGGGUGUGAAAGCCCCGGGCUCAACCUGGGAAUUGCAUUCAAGACUGGUUAGCUAGAGUCUCGUAGAGGGGGGUAGAAUUCCAUGUGUAGCGGUGAAAUGCGUAGAGAUAUGGAGGAAUACCGAUGGCGAAGGCAGCCAUCUGGCCUAAUACUGACACUGAGGUGCGAAAGCAUGGGGAGCAAACAGG
rnacentral:rRNA from 1 species